GCCCCUUCCUUGCCUCUUCCAGCUUCUGGUGGCCCCAGGCCAUCCCUGGCUUGCAGAUACGUGGCUCCCAUCUCUGCCUCGGUCUUCACAUGGGGCCUCCCGUCUAUGUCUCUCUGUGUGUCCCGUCCUCUUUUUACAGGGACACCAGUCAUUGGAUAAGGGCUAAUGAUCCUAAUCCAGUGUGAGCUCAUCUUAAUUAAUUACAUCUGCAAAUGCCCCAUCUCCAGUUGCAGAGUCAAACCCAUCCUGGUAUCAACCUGCUUUUAGUACUUCCAGAUUCGUAAGUCAAGAAAUCCUCCUUCCUGCUUGUACCAGUUGGCAGUGGGUUUUCUGGCAUUUGUACCUGCAACCACCAUUCUACUCUCUGUUUGAAUGAGUUUGAAACAUCCACAUCUGAGUGAGGUCAAUGCCGGUGAACAGAGAGACAGAGGGAAAGAAUUUCAGAAUAUCCUUAAAAAUCGCAGCACCUGGCAGAUCCUGCCUCACACCUCAAGGGCCUGUGUGGGGUCCUAGGUUCAUCCCUGAUCCAUCUCAGAGGUGCGGCGAUCACUGAUCCAUCUCGGAGACUUUUGAGCUUGGACCUGACAUUUGCCACUUCCUCUCCUCCUCACUGGAGACAGAGUGCAAUCUGUUUCUGCAAAGCAAGAGCACUUUAAGAGGGUGGAAGGGCACUCAUCUGUGUCAGGGUCAUGUCUGUGUGCAGAUCCCCCAAGGUCAUUGUUGAGAGAAAGGGGAAGAUGUUGGGGAGGCCGGGCAAGCAUGUGCCGGCUACCCUCACACUUGCACAUAGCAUAUGUCAAGUCACCUAAAGGAAACCUGAAUGA
rnacentral:lncRNA from 1 species